rnacentral:misc_RNA from 1 species
CCGAGAACGAAAGGUGGCUCUCGGGUCACCUUUCGCCUCCCCCCCCCCCCCCUCAUACCAUGUGAACGCGAACCCGUGGACGAACGUGAGAUUGUCUACGCUUCCGCAAGAAAACGAAAAGCA